CGGACGGGUGAGUAACACGUGAGCAACCUGCCUUUAAGAGUGGGAUAACGGUCGGAAACGACCGCUAAUACCGCAUAAUAUACAUGAAUCGCAUGGUUUGUGUAUCAAAGAUUUAUCGCUUAAAGAUGGGCUCGCGUCUGAUUAGCUGGUUGGUGAGGUAACGGCUCACCAAGGCGACGAUCAGUAGCCGUACUGAGAGGUAGAACGGCCACAUUGGGACUGAGACACGGCCCAGACUCCUACGGGAGGCAGCAG
rnacentral:rRNA from 1 species